AUUGAACGCUGGCGGCAUGCCUUACACAUGCAAGUCGAACGGCAGCGCGGGGCAACCUGGCGGCGAGUGGCGAACGGGUGAGUAAUAUAUCGGAACGUACCCUGGAGUGGGGGAUAACGUAGCGAAAGUUACGCUAAUACCGCAUACGAUCUAAGGAUGAAAGUGGGGGAUCGCAAGACCUCAUGCUCCUGGAGCGGCCGAUAUCUGAUUAGCUAGUUGGUGGGGUAAAGGCCUACCAAGGCAUCGAUCAGUAGCUGGUCUGAGAGGACGACCAGCCACACUGGAACUGAGACACGGUCCAGACUCCUACGGGAGGCAGCAGUGGGGAAUUUUGGACAAUGGGCGAAAGCCUGAUCCAGCAAUGCCGCGUGAGUGAAGAAGGCCUUCGGGUUGUAAAGCUCUUUUGUCAGGGAAGAAACGGUGAGAGCUAAUAUCUUUUGCUAAUGACGGUACCUGAAGAAUAAGCACCGGCUAACUACGUGCCAGCAGCCGCGGUAAUACGUAGGGUGCAAGCGUUAAUCGGAAUUACUGGGCGUAAAGCGUGCGCAGGCGGUUUUGUAAGUUUGUCGUGAAAGCCCCGGGCUCAACCUGGGAAUUGCGAUGAAGACUGCAAGGCUUGAAUCUGGCAGAGGGGGGUAGAAUUCCACGUGUAGCAGUGAAAUGCGUAGAGAUGUGGAGGAACACCGAUGGCGAAGGCAGCCCCCUGGGUCAAGAUUGACGCUCAUGCACGAAAGCGUGGGGAGCAAACAGGAUUAGAUACCCUGGUAGUCCACGCCCUAAACGAUGUCUACUAGUUGUCGGGUUUUAAUUAACUUGGUAACGCAGCUAACGCGUGAAGUAGACCGCCUGGGGAGUACGGUCGCAAGAUUAAAACUCAAAGGAAUUGACGGGGACCCGCACAAGCGGUGGAUGAUGUGGAUUAAUUCGAUGCAACGCGAAAAACCUUACCUACCCUUGACAUGUACGGAAGCUUGGAGAGAUCUGAGUGUGCUCGAAAGAGAGCCGUAACACAGGUGCUGCAUGGCUGUCGUCAGCUCGUGUCGUGAGAUGUUGGGUUAAGUCCCGCAACGAGCGCAACCCUUGUCAUUAGUUGCUACGAAAGAGCACUCUAAUGAGACUGCCGGUGACAAACCGGAGGAAGGUGGGGAUGACGUCAAGUCCUCAUGGCCCUUAUGGGUAGGGCUUCACACGUCAUACAAUGGUACAUACAGAGGGCCGCCAACCCGCGAGGGGGAGCUAAUCCCAGAAAGUGUAUCGUAGUCCGGAUUGUAGUCUGCAACUCGACUACAUGAAGUUGGAAUCGCUAGUAAUCGCGGAUCAGCAUGUCGCGGUGAAUACGUUCCCGGGUCU
rnacentral:rRNA from 1 species